UUGAACGCUGGCGGCAGGCCUAACACAUGCAAGUCGAACGGUAACAGGAAGAAGCUUGCUUCUUUGCUGACGAGUGGCGGACGGGUGAGUAAUGUCUGGGAAACUGCCUGAUGGAGGGGGAUAACUACUGGAAACGGUAGCUAAUACCGCAUAACGUCGCAAGACCAAAGAGGGGGACCUUCGGGCCUCUUGCCAUCGGAUGUGCCCAGAUGGGAUUAGCUAGUAGGUGGGGUAACGGCUCACCUAGGCGACGAUCCCUAGCUGGUCUGAGAGGAUGACCAGCCACACUGGAACUGAGACACGGUCCAGACUCCUACGGGAGGCAGCAGUGGGGAAUAUUGCACAAUGGGCGCAAGCCUGAUGCAGCCAUGCCGCGUGUAUGAAGAAGGCCUUCGGGUUGUAAAGUACUUUCAGCGGGGAGGAAGGGAGUAAAGUUAAUACCUUUGCUCAUUGACGUUACCCGCAGAAGAAGCACCGGCUAACUCCGUGCCAGCAGCCGCGGUAAUACGGAGGGUGCAAGCGUUAAUCGGAAUUACUGGGCGUAAAGCGCACGCAGGCGGUUUGUUAAGUCAGAUGUGAAAUCCCCGGGCUCAACCUGGGAACUGCAUCUGAUACUGGCAAGCUUGAGUCUCGUAGAGGGGGGUAGAAUUCCAGGUGUAGCGGUGAAAUGCGUAGAGAUCUGGAGGAAUACCGGUGGCGAAGGCGGCCCCCUGGACGAAGACUGACGCUCAGGUGCGAAAGCGUGGGGGGCAAACAGGAUUAAAUACCCUGGUAGUCCACGCCGUAAACGAUGUCGACUUGGAGGUUGUGCCCUUGAGGCGUGGCUUCCGGAGCUAACGCGUUAAAUCGACCGCCUGGGGAGUACGGCCGCAAGGUUAAAACUCAAAUGAAUUGACGGGGGCCCGCACAAGCGGUGGAGCAUGUGGUUUAAUUCGAUGCAACGCGAAGAACCUUACCUGGUCUUGACAUCCACGGAAGUUUUCAGAGAUGAGAAUGUGCCUUCGGGAACCGUGAGACAGGUGCUGCAUGGCUGUCGUCAGCUCGUGUUGUGAAAUGUUGGGUUAAGUCCCGCAACGAGCGCAACCCUUAUCCUUUGUUGCCAGCGGUCCGGCCGGGAACUCAAAGGAGACUGCCAGUGAUAAACUGGAGGAAGGUGAGGAUGACGUCAAGUCAUCAUGGCCCUUACGACCAGGGCUACACACGUGCUACAAUGGCGCAUACAAAGAGAAGCGACCUCGCGAGAGCAAGCGGACCUCAUAAAGUGCGUCGUAGUCCGGAUUGGAGUCUGCAACUCGACUCCAUGAAGUCGGAAUCGCUAGUAAUCGUGGAUCAGAAUGCCACGGUGAAUACGUUCCCGGGCCUUGUACACACCGCCCGUCACACCAUGGGAGUGGGUUGCAAAAGAAGUAGGUAGCUUAACCUUCGGGAGGGCGCUUACCACUUUGUGAUUCAUGACUGGGGUG
rnacentral:rRNA from 1 species